rnacentral:rRNA from 1 species
UGGGCGAAAGCCUGAUCCAGCAAUGCCGCGUGAGUGAAGAAGGCCUUCGGGUUGUAAAGCUCUUUCAGUCGAGAAGAAAAGGUUGUGACUAAUAAUCACAAUUCAUGACGGUAUCGACAGAAGAAGCACCGGCUAACUACGUGCCAGCAGCCGCGGUAAUACGUAGGGUGCAAGCGUUAAUCGGAAUUACUGGGCGUAAAGGGUGCGCAGGCGGCUUUGUAAGUCAGAUGUGAAAUCCCCGGGCUUAACCUGGGAAUUGCGUUUGAAACUACAAAGCUAGAGU